GUGACUGUGUUCAGUGAAUUUUAUUUAUACUGUAGGCCCCGUUCUCCGUGGGUUUGCUUUCCACAGUUUCGGUUCCACGCGGUCAACGAAGGUUGGGAAGCAGACGAUCCUCCUCCUGACACACGAUCAGAGUGGAAAACUGGAGCUGGUUGCCAUGGAGACCAGCUACCGACUUCAGAGUGCCUGUUUAUUAAAGAUGAAAGUAAUGUAUGCCUGGCUGUUCUGAGCAGCUGUCAGAGAUUCGACUGUUAGCAGAGGAAGUCACUAAUUUCGAGGCAUAAUCACUCAUCUAAGAGAGAGCCGGCCCCUCUUCAUCUUCCGAGUGGAGCUGGGCCCUGUGGUCUCCGCCAGGUGUGCAAGAGCAGAAGAGGUGGGGGUGAGCCCCACGGAGAGCAGCCUUGAUGGACAUUGCGUGCCCUUCGACAGGUGGGAGAAGCAGGCACCUUCCGAGGGAGGCAGUAAAUUAGAAGAGAGCUGGGGGGUCUUGCAUCUUUUGGCCAAAUGAGCUGUGUGAUCUUCAGAAAACAGGUCACUUUCUUUUUGUCUUUUUGCUCUUUUCAUUCAUGCAGUGAUAAAAUCUGAGAGUAAAUCUGAAUCCCAAGAUUCACGAUUUAGAUUCACCAAGUGUUCUCCAAAGCCGACGCAGCAAACUGGGCUGAUCACUGCUGGGCUGUAAGGAGUGGCUGUGCCCGUGGGGAGCACUCCGGGAGCCAAGAGGCUGCUGGGAGCUGAUCCCCACUGUCUCAUCACAGCGUAGCCAACUCGCUCAUCCCUUCUGCCCUCAGUUUCCUCAUCUGAAAGAGAAGGGAGGAGUAAGCUAAUUCUAACUAGUCUUUCAUUCCAUAGACACUUAAGUGGGCUUCCGUGAACUGAAAGUGUUCCUAACGCUGGACAGCUGAACAGGGGUUAACCCCGGGUCUAGGUCACUGUUAACCAAGUACAGUCUGUACCUCUGGUCAAGGUUGUCUCAGGCCAAGGCAGGUGCUUGUUUCCAUCUCUUGGUGUCAGUGUGCAGGCACUUCUGUGGCAGGUCUGGGCAGGAGCCCCUGUCCCAUUUCUCUUGAGCUGCCCCGUGUCUGAGAAUGAAGAUGGAGCAUGAAGCUAAAGAAUGGAAGUGAGUAUCAUCAGUGCUUUUUUAAAAAAAUUUUUUUUAUUAAUUUAUUUGACAGAGGGGGGGUACAAGCAGGGAAGAGCAGA